AAGAGAGUGCAAGAGAUCGUGAAACCAAUAUGAUGUAAGCAGAUGGUGCUGACGGAUUAGGUGUACAUUCAUCUAUGUUCUUCGGAAUGUGGUGCUCUUGUAUGCUAUUUGUGCUGGAUUCAUUGAUGCUGCGUUGCAAGUCGGAUGAGUGUGGUCCGGCUAGUCCGGUUACCUGCGUUCGAGGCAGUGAUGUUGGCGUUGGUGGUGCGAGUCUAGAUGUUUGUGGUUGGAUGCUGAUGCUGAUUGGCUUUGAUGAUGGCGCGUGCGUUGUUGUCUUUGCUGGGCGGUGUUGGUGUUCGAUUACCCGUAGAGUCGAUUCAGUAUUUAGUCAGUCAACUAUUUGACCCGUCUUGAAACACGGACCAAGGAGUUUAAAGUACACGCGAGUCAGAGGGAUUUUUAGACCCUACGGCGGAAUGAAAGUGAGGGGCGUAUGCCCAAGUUAUUAACGUGAGGAUUGGUUUUGCUGAUCUGCAGCGUUGCUCCAUGUCGUAGCUUAGGCUUGAUGUGGCAGUUGAGCGUGUGCUUUGAGACCCGAAAGAUGGUGAACUAUGCUCGAACAGGAUGAAGCCAGGGGAAACCCUGGUGGAAGUCCGAAGCGGUUCUGACGUGCAAAUCGAUCGUCUGAUUUGAGUAUAGGGGCGAAAGACUAAUCGAACUAUCUAGUAGCUGGUUCCUUCGCAAA
rnacentral:rRNA from 1 species